UUCUAAGGGCGGUGAAGUCAGACCGGAAGGACUGGUGGAGCGCUUAGAAGUGAGAAUGCCGGUAUGAGUAGCGAAAGAAGGGUGAGAAUCCCUUCCACCGAAUAUCUAAGGUUUCCUGAGGAAGGCUCGUCCGCUCAGGGUUAGUCGGGACCUAAGCCGAGGCCGAUAGGCGUAGGCGAUGGACAACAGGUAGAGAUUCCUGUACCAGUGCUAAUUGUUUAACCGAUGGGGUGACACAGAAGGAUAGGGAAUCGCACGAAUGGAAAUGUGCGUCCAAGCAGUGAGUGUGAGAAGUAGGCAAAUCCGCUUCUCGCGAAGCAUGAGCUGUGAUGGGGAAGGAAAUUAAGUACGGAAGUUCCUGAUUUCACGCUGUCAAGAAAAGCCUCUAGGAAGAGUAGUACUGCCCGUACCGCAAACCGACACAGGUAGAUGAGGAGAGAAUCCUAAGGUGAGCGAGAGAACUCUCGUUAAGGAACUCGGCAAAAUGACCCCGUAACUUCGGGAGAAGGGGUGCUCUAUUAGGGUGCAAGCCCGAGAGAGCCGCAGUGAAUAGGCCCAGGCGACUGUUUAGCAAAAACACAGGUCUCUGCAAAACCGUAAGGUGACGUAUAGGGGCUGACGCCUGCCCGGUGCUGGAAGGUUAAGAGGAGUGCUUAGCUUCGGCGAAGGUACGAAUUGAAGCCCCAGUAAACGGCGGCCGUAACUAUAACGGUCCUAAGGUAGCGAAAUUCCUUGUCGGGUAAGUUCCGACCCGCACGAAAGGCGCAACGAUCUGGGCACUGUCUCAACGAGAGACUCGGUGAAAUUAUAGUACCUGUGAAGAUGCAGGUUACCCGCGACAGGACGGAAAGACCCCGUGGAGCUUUACUGCAACCUGAUAUGGAAUGUUUGUACCGCUUGUACAGGAUAGGU
rnacentral:rRNA from 1 species